rnacentral:lncRNA from 1 species
CUGGAGAGCUACUGUCCUGUAGGUUUCCACUCCAACCCUGUUCCUGGAGAGCUACUGUCCUGUAGGUUUCCACUCCAACCAUGUUCCUGGAGAGCUACUGUCCUGUAGGUUUCUACUCCAACCCUGUUCCUGGAGAGUUACUGUCCUUUAGGUUUCCACUCCAACCCUGUUCCUGGAGAGCUACGGUCCUGUAGGUUUCCACUCCAACCCUGUUCCUGGAGAGCUACUGUCCUGUAGGUUUCCACUCCAACCCUGUUCCUGGAGAGCUACUGUCCUGUAGGUUUCUACUCCAACCCUGUUCCUGGAGAGCUACUGUCCUGUAGGUUUCCACUCCAACCCUGUAGGUUUCCACUCCAACCCUGUUCCUGGAGAGCUACUGUCCUGUAGGUUUCCACUCCAACCCUGUUCCUGGAGAGCUACUGUCCUGUAAGUUUCCACUCCAACCCUGUUGCUGGAGAGCUACUGUCCUGUAGGUUUCCACUCCAACCCUGUUCCUGGAGAGCUACUGUCCUGUAGGUUUCUACUCCAACCCUGUUCCUGGAGAGCUACUGUCCUGUAGGUUUCUACUCCAAACCUGUUCCUGGAGAGCUACUGUCCUGUAGGUUUCCACUCAAACCCUGUUCCUGGAGAGCUACUGUCCUGUAGGUUUCCACUCCAACCCUGUUCCUGGAGAGCUACUGUCCUGUAGGUUUCCACUCCAACCCUGUUCCUGGAGAGCUACGGUCCUGUAGGUUUCCACUCCAACCCUGUAG